CACGUAGGCACCAAGCGUUGUCCGGAAUUAUUGGGCGUAAAGAGCUCGUAGGCGGUGUGUCGCGUCGGUCGUGAAAACUUGGGGCUUAACCCUGAGCUUGCGGUCGAUACGGGCAUCACUGGAGUUCGGCAGGGGAGACUGGAAUUCCUGGUGUAGCGGUGAAAUGCGCAGAUAUCAGGAGGAACACCGAUGGCGAAGGCAGGUCUCUGGGCCGAUACUGACGCUGAGGAGCGAAAGCGUGGGGAGCGAACAGG
rnacentral:rRNA from 1 species